rnacentral:rRNA from 1 species
UACGUAGGGGGCUAGCGUUGUCCGGAAUCAUUGGACGUAAAGAGCGUAUAAACGGUCCGAUAAGUCCGCUGUGAAAGUCGGAGGCUCAACCCUCGAAUGCCAGUGGAUACUGUCGGGCUAAAGUGCGGAAGAGACGAAUGGAAUUCCUGGUGUAGCGGUGAAAUGCGCAGAUAUCAAGAAGAACACCUAUUGCGAAGACAGCUCGCUGAAACGUAACUGACGCUGAGACGCGAAAGCGUAGGAAGCAAACAGG